rnacentral:tRNA from 2 species
UGGAAUUGUAGUCAACCAUGACAUAUGAUUUGCAUUCAUAAAGUGUUUUAAACCUUUUUC